CAAUGCCAUAGUUCAGUUCUGUCACUUUAAGCUCUAAGACAUGUAAGUUCAUCACCUAAAAUUGAUCUUAGAUCUGCCAUAUACAUGCUCUUGCACCUUUUUACUUUCAAAACCACUUCACCUAAACUUAGACUGGUCACAGUACCUCCAUCUGACAAUAAUUUUACUUUAUUUUCUUUGUCACACAUCUAUGGCACACUG
rnacentral:lncRNA from 1 species